rnacentral:rRNA from 1 species
AUUGAACGCUGGCGGCAGGCUUAACACAUGCAAGUCGAGCGAGCGGCGGACGGGUGAGUAAUGUCUGGGAAACUGCCUGAUGGAGGGGGAUAACUACUGGAAACGGUAGCUAAUACCGCAUACCAUCAGAUGUGCCCAGAUGUGAUUAGCUAGUAGGUGGGGUAAUGGCUCACCUAGGCGACGAUCCCUAGCUGGACUGAGAGGAUGACACCCGACACUGGAACUGAGACACGUUCCAGACUCCUACGGGCGGCAGCAGUUGGGAAUAUUGCACAAGGGGCGCAAGCCUGAUGCAGCCAUGCCGCGUGUGUGAAGAAGGCCUUCGGAUUGUAAAGCACUUUCAGCGAGGAGGCGUUACUCGCAGAAGAAGCACCGGCUAACUCCGUGCCAGCAGCCGCGGUAAUAC